AAACCAGCUGGACUUGGAAGAGAUGAACCAAAUAUGAAUCCAGUAUUAGAUCCACCAAAGUAUUUUGAUUUUGAAAUUUCAUACAAUGUAUUAUUUUAAAUGAAUUUUUUAUUUUUCAUAAAAAAUUCACUGAAUUUUUUAUGAAAAAUUUAAAAGAAUAUGCAUAUGUUUUUAUUAUUAUAUUUACAGUAGCAUAUAAGUCUGUUUAUGACAGGCAGAGGUAAAUUAAAUCUAUUCAAGCAAUGUGAAUAUUUACGAUAGCUUAGUUGCUAUAUAUUUUUCAUCAACCAAUGACAUGACUUCUAAUUUGUUGAUUAUUAAGUAAUGGUAAUAUAGUAAGGGUAAUAUAGGUCCUGACAUAUGUUAUCCACUCCCAUGGAGAUCACAGAUUUUAUAGGACAGGGAUUGAGGGUAUGAGCCUGGAUUCCAUGAAUAAUUUUCCAAGAUAUGAACCAGAAUUAAACCUGAAUCCUUUGGGUAGAAAGUGCAAUCCUCACCAUACAACCAAUCCAGAUGACUUUAGGCAUGUUGUCCUCUGUGUUGCCAUCUUUUAUCACAUAAAAUAUUUAACUUAACUUUGACAUGGUCUAGUGAAUGAUUGCCAGCAGUGUUGAAUGCAGAAAUGUCUUCAAUUGUAUAGUUGUUGUUUGCCUGAAUGAAAUCAAUUUUGUUUCUGGGAUCUGUCCACUGAGGUUGAUCCACAUCCAUUUUUAUUGCUCUUGUUGAAGAUGUUCAUUAACUUCAAACUGAAGUGAGUCACAAAUUCUACUAGUAUUGUGCUUCUCAUUUUAUAUACAAUGCUAUGCUUUCCCAUACAUUAUUAUCUUGGUGUCUUCUAAUUUUUGCAUUGAAAUUGUCCAUGAUAAUUAUGAAGCAUGCUGGGUUGGUGUUGAUUUCAUCAAUUAUGUCUUCACAUAGGGCAAGGGUCAGCAACCUUUUCUGGACGGCGUGCCAUUUUCAAAAAAAAAUAUUUUUAAGCGGGCCACACAGUCAGAUGUUUUGUAAUGUAGUAUGUAGCUUAAAUAUAUUU
rnacentral:lncRNA from 1 species